rnacentral:rRNA from 1 species
AUGGCAACUCGCAGUGAGCAAAUACAGUUCAUCGUUGAUGUACUAAAGCCAUCCAAGCUGCGGAGCCUCGGUGAUCCCAUAUUGCAAGAAGUAGAGGCCUACUUUGCAAGCUGGGGACAAGAGGGCAUAGUUGAUCUUAAACAUGAACUCGAGCAGGUGCUCAUGUUUAUGUCAAGUCGGUGCCUACUCGGAUCUGAGGCCCACAUCGGGCUUAAACAAAUAUUCACUACAACUAUCAGGUCACGCAGGAGCUCCGGCCGAGUUCAGGAGGAUGCACUGCAGAGGUUGAUGAAUUCCAAAUAUAAAGACGGCCGCUCUGCAUCCGAAGCAGAAAUUUGCGGCAUGAUCAUAGCACUCAUAUUUGCUGGAAAACACCCAAGCUCCAACACUAGUAUAUGGACUGGAGCGUUCAUGUUGAGCAACACCAAAUUCUUAAUAGCUGCCGUGGAGGAGCAAAAGCAUAUAAUUAGCAAGUACAAGAACCAAAUAGGCAAUGAUGCAUUUUUAGAGAUGGAUACCCUGCAUAGAUGCAUCAAGGAGGCACUUCGGAUGCAUAAACCAGUGCAAAUGUUAGCUCGCAAGGCACAUAAGAAAUUCAAGGUGCAGACCAAGGAAGGCAAGGAAUAUGACAUACCUGAAGGGUAUAACAUUGUAAUCCCUACUGCACUCAACAAUAAGCUGGCACAUGUUUACAAUGACCCUCAUGUGUAUGAUCCAGAUCGGUUUGGUCCUGGAAGAGAGGAGGACAAAGUUGGCCGCAAGUACUCUUUCACAACAUUUGGUGGUGGAAGGCAUGUUUGUUCUGGCAUGGCCUUGGCAUACCUGCAAAUCAAGGUCAUAUGGAGCCAUCUAUUAAGAAACUUUGAGCUCAAGCUAAUAUCUCCAUUCCCUAAGGUGGAUGUGACCAAGGUGGGUCAAGAGCCUAAAGGAAAAGAGUACGACAAUAGGCCAAUGCUAGGGCACAACAUGCCACCACGCGUCGGCAUGGAGUCGGACGAAUUUUCGCCACCAUCAAGCUGUGUCAUAGAUGAAGGAAAUUCAAGAAGAGGAUCACGUGGACUUCAAAGUCAAGAGGAAGUGGUCUGA